AUGCAGACUAGACAUGAAAUUGGCUAUUUGAUCAACCAUAAAAGAACUUUUUUGGUUCUAACUUCUAAGCCUAAUAGUUCCAAGCUCUUAACAUUUUCACAGGUAGACUCAGAAUUUGUGGAAGUAUUAGCAUUCAUGUAUCUAUCAUGUUUACAUAUAAGUAUAUGUCAUUUCAUUUUUAUAGCAGCAAUUGAGUCAGAAUUUUUGCAGUGCUACAGAGCUAUUUACUAA